UGAAGGGACAAAUGAAGAACAACAAAGAGUGGCUUCUAUAGUAUCUUCUUGGAUUCAAGCACGAGAGCUUUGGUCUCAAGAUGAAGAACCAGAAUAGUCCAAGUAAUUGAGGACUUUUAACCUGAAUAUAUGGAUUCAGCUUUAAUGUGUACUGUAUGUGGCCAGUCUGGACACCACAACUUCAGACUUAGAUUGGAAUCCUGAAAACAUUACUCGUUUGCUGGAGCAACAAGAGAUGUCAUCUAUGAAUGAAGUUUCUGGAGUUUGUUGGAACCAAGCUCGAGACAUAAGGUCACACAUUCCAGAAGCUGAUGAAAGAUCCCAACAAAAUAUUGUGUUGUUCAAUAUAAGAAGAGCAGCUGAAACACCAAGACAUUGUGUUUUUCAAGAAUGCAUGAAUCCUGAGCAAAAUGUUGUGCCUCGAGUUGCCUGUGCCUGUGUUGUGUUGUUGUGCUUUAAGCUAAAAAAAGUCCUGCCA